CAACCAUCCAGAGCGGCUGAGUGACCUGGCACGACGACGCCGCAGCAACCCCUCCACGCACCGCGCGUCGGGGCGAGGGUGCUACCGCCAGGACCGAUGGAGG
rnacentral:ncRNA from 2 species